CCCCUGUAAGCUCAGUUGGUAGAGCAUGGUGUUUGCAAUGCCAGGGUUGUGGGUUCGAUUCCCACGGGGGG
rnacentral:tRNA from 1 species